UUUUCCGCGGGUCGCGUCUCUGGCCGCCCGUCCUCCCUCCCUCCAAAUACCGCCUAGCGAAUUAUUGGGAUCUCCGACUCGCGGUUAAGUAUGAUCGGUGCUAACGGGUUUGGUGGUUUUUUUGGAUUUCUUUCACCGGUGAAGCGGGGCAGACUGGUUUUCUCUGACUGUGAUUUGGUUGGAAAAAAGACUCUUCGUGACCACCGCAGCAGGCAGUGCCGUUGAGCAACGGUCCAGGAAUCUUGCUGCGCGAGCCAUUAGGAAGACGCGAAAUGGGCAUUCAUAAUGAGGUCUCACAACUUAGUUCGUUGGCCGCAAGCUAUGCAGGCAAUCAAAUUAUUUCCAAGUUCUCUUCUCAUAUGCUUUGCACCCAUCCCAAAGAAAACGACAAAUUUCUCUUCUUUGAGCUCUACCGAUCACGAAACCGGCAUUCCUCUCCACGUCUCCAGCAGCUACGGCACUAUACAACCUCUUGAUUUCGCCUCUGCUCUCACCUUAUCCUCUAACACUAACAACCCUAUCAUUGGCUGUGCAACCCAUGCCCAAAUCAUCAAGCUUGGCUUCUCAAAUGACAUUUUUACUAACAAUAAUUUGGUUUGGAUGUAUUCAAGAUGUCAACUUUUGAAUUAUGCGCUCAACCUGUUCUAUGAAAUGCCUCAGAGAAAUUUAGUGUCCUGGACCUCCAUGAUCUCCAGUUGCAUUCGCAGUGAUGAGCUUGAGAUGGGCUUGGCAAUAUAUUUGGAGAUGAUGAGGUCUAGGUUUUAUCCCAAUGAAUUCACACUUGCCAGUGCCUUGAGUGCGUGCUGUGCGCUUGAGGACAUUAAGCUUGGGAAGUCCUUUCAUGCGGUUGCUUUCAAGAUGUGUUGUGAGAGGAACUCCUUUGUAAGUAGUUCACUUCUUUGUAUGUAUGCCAAAUGUAGUGAUAUUGAAGCUGCAGAGUUGGUAUUUGGCUGUAUAGACCAUCAAGACUUGGCUUGUUGGAAUGCUAUGGCUGAGAGCUAUGCAUUUAGUGGCUAUGGUCAUUAUGCAAUGAAAAUAGUAUGUCUUAUUCACUCCAAAGAUCUUCCUGCAGAUAAAUUUACCUUUGUAAGUGGUCUUAAGGCCUGCACAAUUUCUGGUAAUGUAAAAUUUGGAGGGCAGAUUCACAGCUUUAUCAUCUACCAUGAGUUAGAAUCCAGCACUUCAGUGAUGAAUUCGCUCAUGGAUAUGUAUUUCAGGUAUGAAAUGAAAGACCGUGCGAUGCUAGUCUUUAAUAGAAUACAUGAGAAGGAUAUUGUCUCAUGGAAUACUGUAGUUUGUGGUUUUGCUCAAGCUGAGGAUGAGAAGGAAGUGGUGGCCUAUUUUUCCAGUAUGUUGUACUGUGGUCUGAAACCAAAUCAAGUAACUUUGUCUUCUAUAUUCAGACUUUGUGGUAUGAGAGAGAAUAUUCAUUUUGGGCUUCAGUUUUGCUGCUUUGCUUACCAUCUUGGACUCUUCAAUCAUGCUCUUGUGACUAAUGCGCUCAUCAGUAUGUUCUCUAAAUGCGGAUUAAUGGACAAAGCAUUUUUCUUGUUCAGCAGCCAUGGAAACGAAAGCACAAUUACUUACAAUGAGAUGAUAGCAGGGUGUAACAUGAAUGGCUAUUUUACAGAGGCAUUGUUUAUGUUCCACAGCCUGAUCAAAUGUGGCUUUAGAUCAGAUGAGUUCACAUACACUAGUGUUUUGAGUGCUUGCCAUGGAACCCAACAACAUAAAAUAGGUGAGCAGAUACAUGCCAAAAUCAUCAAAUCUGGUUUUAAUUCCUUUAGACAUAUAUGUGCGUCACUAAUCAGCACUUAUGAACGACUUGGUUCUCUGGGAAACUCCUAUAAGGUCUUCCAAGGUGUUGAGGAUCUAGAUCUGGCAUGUUGGGGAGUGAUGAUUUCAGCAUUUGCAAGGCAGCGCUUUAACUAUGAGGCUUUCUCACUUCUCAAUUCCCUGAGAAAAGUAGGUGAGAAUCCUGAUGAGUUCAUUUUUGGGAGCAUUUUGAAUUCUUGUGCUGGUAAUGGUGUGCUUAAUCAGUGCAGGUGCAUCCAUUCUUUUGUGAUUAAGACAGGAUAUGAGAUGCAUUUGCAUGUGGCUAGUGCAGCUAUUGAUGCCUACGCUAAGUGUGGAGAUAUCAGUAGCUCAUGGACGUGUUUUGAUUGUGUUUUAGAAUAUAAUGAUGCCGUCACCUUCAACACCAUGAUUACAGCUCUUGGACACCAUGGAAUGAUCAGUGAAGCUAUUCAAAUUCUAGAAAAAAUGAGACGUGCUAAUGUGCUUCCAACUCAGGCUACUUUCGUUGCAGUUCUUUCAGCUUGUAGGCAUCUUGGUUUGGUGGAGGAAGGGCAGUAUGUCUUUGAUUCCAUAAGCUCUACGUAUGGCAUGCUACCAUCUAAGGAUAAUUUUGGCUGCUUGGUUGAUCUUCUAGCCCGGAAUGGGUUUCUUGAAAAGGCUAAACAAGUACUUGAAAGCAUGCCUUAUGAACCAUGGCCUGCAAUUUGGAGGUCUUUGUUGAGUGGCUGUCAAAGUCAUGGAGAGAAAGAAAUAGCUAGGCAAGCUUCAGAGCAGCUUCAACUACUGCAAGGCAAUGAUGGUGCCUUGGUGCUUUUAUCAAAUAGUUAUGCCGAAGAUGGGAGAUGGGAAGACUCAGCGAAUAUGAGAAUGAGAAUUGUACAACAAGGUAUUCACAAAGUGCCUGGGUAUAGUGUAGUUGGGUUAUAGGGCAGAAGAUGGGAUACGUUUCUGAGGCAAAAGGAGGGAUCAUUUUGUUAUACAUGGAUUGUGGUAGACCGCGAAGGAAAAGAUGUUAGGGCACUGUUGGCGCUCACACUACUUGAUCAGAGCAGAAAGGGUAGCAGUUGUUUGGAAGAUCUGUGAAAAAGCUGUUCAAACGGAUCCAAUGUAUAUAACUACUUUGAUCGGGCGCUCAAUUAUUGCGGGACUAUGAGGUCGCAAGUUUUCCUUUUUCCUCUUCGCUUUCAUAUUGCUUCGGCUUUGUGCUUAAUAGGUUUUGAAAUAUAGUUGCUAAAGAAGCUUCUUGGUCUCGUUUCAACGACAUUUUUCUUGUUGAUGGAAGCUCAUCACAAAGGAGAUGGAUAUAGCUGUCGACCCGACUAUGGUUGAAGGGGUUACAAACGAUUUUAUAGAAGAACAUCG